rnacentral:misc_RNA from 1 species
GAACAAUGAACUGUUAUAGGACUAUCUUUUGGCUCUUUAUGGAAUUCUUCUUUUGUUACCAAAUGGAAUGUGAUUCAGUUUAUUGAUUUGGUAGGACUCCAUGCAUUCUAUGGUGGGAUUUUCCAUUCUUAAUAUAAAAUCCAUAGUUUCUAAAAUAAAAUUCAUGUUGCUGUGUUUAUUCCAUAUAAAAGAAUGUCAUACAUUUUAUCCAUUCAGGAAGAAUAUUUGUGAGGUCUAUUUCUGUCGGUGUGCUUGUAUUCAUAUGCAUAUGCACACAUGCACG